GCCCUUGUAGCUCAGUCGGUAGAGCACAUCCAUGGUAAGGAUGAGGUCAACGGUUCGAUUCCGUUCGAGGGCU
rfam:Spirochaetes bacterium GWC1_61_12 gwc1_scaffold_509, whole genome shotgun sequence.